UUAGGUCACUGGCAGCUCCAAUUUAUACACGUUGGAAAAAUGAAAGAGCAGUUAUUUAGUUAUGGUCAUUUGACUGCGAAAAGCCUGAGAUGAGUAUCGCCUGAAAGUCAUCCCACUUAUUCGUCUUAUGCUCAAGUUUCAAUUUACGUCGGUCGGGUUCCCGGAUCUUAAGAACCACUGUUUACAGCUGUUUCAUUGAUUGUCUCUCAUUUGUUUUCCAGAAGCACGUUUUCUUCAAAAGCACCUCAUCUAUCACUUUUACCCAUUCUCCAAUUCCGGCAGGAUAUGUUCUUUUCUAACGAUAGAUGUUGUGGCACAAUUUAUCCUCCAUCCAAAUGAUAGAAAAUUGACUGUGAGCCACUGCUCAGAUUUCUGUUUUUUUAAAGUAACACUUUUUUCUGCUUUUUUUCCUUCCCAAAUCCCCCCAGUACAUAGUUGUAUAUUUUAGCUGUGGGUCCUUCUAGCUGUGGCAUGUGGGACGCCGUCUUAGUGUGGCCUGACGAGUGGUGCCAUAUCCGUGCCCUGGAUCCCAACCAGCGAAACCCCGGGCCGCCCAAGCGGAGAAGCUCGAACUUAACCACUCAGCCACGGGGCCAGCCCCUCAGAUUUCUAUUUUCAUAUCUCCCCCUUCUUUUGUAAAAGAGACCUCCUUUGAACACAGCUCAGACUGCUGUUCUCCUUACAUGAACCAGAAUUUCUGUAGAAUCAUAUUACCUGACAAAUGAGUGAGAACACCUCCUUAAACUGCCAUGUUACUUCUCACGAAUGAUGCUUGCUAUCUUGAAUGCUGGUUGUCUCCAUAGGCGGAUGCUGCCAGGUGAGCCCACUGAUUGGCUGGUGGAUUAUAGCCCUUUGUGGAGAGGGGCAGGUCUUCCAUCUGGGAGUUUGGGUUUAAUCUACACGAGGAGUGGGAAACGUGCCCACAACCGUUCUGCAAACUGUGAAGGGGCCUCCCCUCGGGCGGCCUGCAGGAGCUCCCCUCCGUCCUCCAAGGGCAGGCUGGCUCUCGCCAGGGACGCGGCUGCGAGGCCCGGGCUGCCUGGCCCCCUUUCCUUUCCCUUCCUCUCUCCUCCCCAACUGCUGCUCCCCGCAGGCCCAGUGAUUCUGUCUUGAGACUCAGACUGACCAGACUGGGGCCCACAAAGCAUGAUUGUUGGCACAUUAUUACAAUUCCCAUGUAUGAUUCCGAUGAGAACUGGAGAGAGCCGACAAAGGAAACAGACAACUACGCUGUUUUCAUGUUCGCUUCCUUCCUGGAGAAGAGGUUUCUAGUUUCUCUGCGGAUCACCAAGAGCUGUCACGUCUCACGGAUCCAGCUUCCCCCACUGCUCAGGCGCCACGAGUAAUUUGCCAGCCUGUCUGAAAGAGGUGAGGACAGGAGACGGAUCUCUGACAACACAGCACACGUCAAAAAGCUAUGUGAUGGCUGCAAAUGGCUCCGACCUGCUGUCCUCCAACACAGGAGCAAACUUCCAGGGACAGAAACGCAUCCCAAGACGAAAUCGGAACCCUGGACACACGCUACGUUCAUGAAACAGAAUACUGAAUUCUGCUUCAUCCCACACCGGGCACCAUGUCCUACGAGCCUGGUGUUCAUGCAAUUCGUGUGACGUAUUAAUCAACGACAUCCUGAGGUGCCAGGCAGCCAGCUGUCCCCAGCAGGUUCCACAGCCUGACAGGUGGCCCACCACUCCAGCACACGGCAACACCUGUUCUUCACGAGACUCUUUACCCAGGCCCUCUCCCGAAACUCAAGGGAAUUUUCUUCAACUCUGUGUAGAAGUCAUUCCAUUUUCCUUCACUAUGCAAGAAGAUAGUUCAUAUUUCAGAUCUCUGUUGGGCGUUGUUCGGGAGGCAAAGAUGGACGGGAUGUUUUUGAUCCCCUAGCAGAGAGAGAGGGUGGCUGUGGCCUGUAAGCAAUGAGACCACAGGGCAGCCCCCGCAGCUGCCCUCUGCUCAUUGAGCCGCCUGCUGUGCAGCUGGACAACACCAGGGCCUGCGUUAGACAGUGAACUUACUGCUGCGGAAGGCCACCCCUAACCUAAAAACCACACCGUCUCAGAUGGCGGGUUAACGCCAUCCAUAGCCUGUCUGAGACCAUUUGGGCAGCAAAGUCAAGACGACAGUAUUUAACUGAUUCUUUUUUUUAACUUUUAAGGGACUAGGUCAUUAAAAGAAAGGUCUUAUCUCAGAAUUUCAUUAUUUUAUCUAUGAUUAUUUGAAGAUACAAGUUUACAUAUUUAGAUAAGUUAGCCCCAGUGGCAUAAAUAAAAGAGCCAGUUACAGAUCCUGAACUAUGUUGAUCAUAAAGAGCACAGGACCAGCACUGUGGACUGUGAAAAGGCCGUGCACAGAAUGCCUUGGGAAGUUUGCCCUGAAUUUGGAAUCUAUAAAUGACUCUGUUUAUUAAAAGUGUAAUUAUAGUGGCUACACCACAGCAAUUCAGUAUUUCUAUAUGCUCAAAUGCAACUCAAAAUUCAGGUGUUACUGUGAGUUUGAACUAGGGCAAAAUGGUAACCUACAAUUUAAAAUAGAACGCAGCCAAGACAUGGUGAAAUGAAUCUCGAAGUUCUUCAUUAAAAGGCACCUUAAUGAAACUGAACUAGGCCACGGGGCAGAGGGAUUUCUAACUGUAAAAUGAGCCAACGCAGGUCAUCACAUUGACAAACAGGAGGAACAUCUGAUUCUGAAGACCAGAGCCAGUGUGACCACAAUCACCGCAGGCAAAGCUCUUGACCAGGCCCCGAGACAGAAGGCCGCGAAGACUGCGAGCUUCCAGGACCGAGGACCGACGGGAACCUCAGCACGUCAUUAUGUGCAUCCUUCACAGAGCGUCUGCUGCUGUUCACAGCCGCGCCGGUGGUGGAACCGAGCCUCCUCUCCAGAACACUGCUAAAACCCUCGCCCUGAUGCUCGGGGUCCUCUGCGGAGGCAGCGCGUCGAAGAGCAGCAGCCCUGACUUUCUGGGCUGAGUGGGUCAUAAGAGCUGCAGAGUGAGAGAAGGAAGACUCCGGUGCAGCCCCUCCCUGCCGCCCUUGGGGGACCCGCAGAGCAGGGGUCAGUGGAGGGUCCAUGCUGCUGGCUCACUGCUGGGGCCUGGGACCCAUGUAAUCAGACACUAGUCUCUUAUCUGGUGGGGGCUCCACGUCCAGUCAUAGAGGCUAGAAGGAGGGAAUCUGGACAGAGAAUCAAGAGUCGAGAAUGAUUUCCAUUUAUGGUCGUGUCUCCCCACACCCACUGCUUCCGGCUUGGGGUGGGGAGCAAAAGAAGGAGAAGGAAAAAGUAAGACUGAAGGAGAAAGGGAGGAAAGAAUAUAGAUUAUGAAAUAAAUGCAACUCAGAAAUAAUAAUGGCUGACAUAUUUGAGAACUCACAGUGCCAACCAUGCUAUUUUGUUUUUAUACACACACACAACUAUUUAACAUAUAAUAUAUUGCAUGUUCAACAACAUAUAUUUAAUGUAAUUUUUUAGAAUGACAAGUCCUGAAAGCACUAUGAACAGUCAGGUACCGGACUAUUCAUAAAUGUUUAAUCACCAGCUCUCAAAAAAGAGCCUGAUUUGUAGUGCUUGCCAGUUUCCAUCUGUAAAUACUCUCCACCAUGGCCAAUUUCAAGCUGCCCAUCUGAGUCACUGAACACGUAGGUGGGGGAGAAAUUUGCAGUCCACCAUUAUAUGCUAUUUGCGCCAUCCAGAUACAAUAGAUAAAAAUAAUCUCAAAAACACAGAUAAUAAUUAAAUGUAGUAAAAUAGUUAGGAAUUGAUGAGUUUUGAGUAUUUAUUACUUUUGACUUAAUGCAACUUAUUUACUAAAUUAUAAUUUAAUUUUUAACAGGAGCUGUAUUUAACGACUUGCAAAAUUCCUGAAAAUUUAACAAUUGGCUUUUGCGAACAGACAUGAACGCUAACAGCACCGCUUGUGAAAUGAGUACCACUCUCCCCAUUUGACCCUAAGAGGAAACUGAGGAAGAGAGGAGUCUGGCAAUCUGUCUGAGGUCCUAUAACUUGUGAGGGGCUGAGCCCAGGCUGCAAACCUUUCUGCUUCUCCGGUGGGGAAUUUCCGCCAUAAACCAGCCCUCAGUGACCGCAGAUCCUCAUCUGUUUACGUUCUAAUUACCGCUUGUAGCAAAACCUGGUCUGGAUCUUUGUGGGGGAGGGUAGCUUUGGGGAGGGGUGGGUGAUUCCAGCCUGGACGGUGAAGGCUGGUUGGAGGGGGACCUCAGGAAGCACUGGUUCUCUCCCCCUGUGCACCCAGCAGGGGCGGUGUGGGAACUCAAGCUAAGACACAGACUCCUGUGGAAUAUUCUCUGGGGAGAACAGCAAUGUGAACUUACUUCCUAUUAAAUUAAUGUAAGCAUAAGAUGUCAUUUCUGGCUAAGAUGAAUAUAUUUUUAUAAAUACAGUUAUUUGGGCUAAAACUGUAUUUUGUCCAGAGUCUUCACAGAGAUUUCUGAGUGGGUCAUAAUUCUCAGUGAGAAAGACACAAUAUUUUAUCACUCAAGCAAAGAGUUUGUUAUGAGUAUUAACUAAAUAUUGCUGGUCAUAACCAUUACCGACAUUAAACUGACAAUGGCAAAUUACUUUCCGACUUUUAGUGAUUCUCAUUUUAUGUAUGUAUUUUGAAAUAAUAAUUAUUAUUCUAAAAUUUAAAACAUAGUAAUAUAUAUCCUAC
rnacentral:lncRNA from 1 species